rnacentral:sRNA from 1 species
GCUGGGCACAGUGGUGCACACCUGUAAUCCCAGCGGCUUGGGAGGCUGAGGCAGGAGGAUUGCAAGUUCAGUGAGACCCUGUCUCUA